CACGUAGGGUGCGAGCGUUGUCCGGAAUUAUUGGGCGUAAAGAGCUCGUAGGCGGUGUGUCGCGUCGGCCGUGAAAACUUGCAGCUUAACUGUGGGCGUGCGGUCGAUACGGGCAUCACUGGAGUUCGGCAGGGGAGACUGGAAUUCCUGGUGUAGCGGUGGAAUGCGCAGAUAUCAGGAGGAACACCGGUGGCGAAGGCGGGCCUCUGGGCAGUAACUGACGCUGAGGAGCGAAAGCGUGGGGAGCGAACAGG
rnacentral:rRNA from 1 species